rnacentral:rRNA from 1 species
GACGAACUGUGCGAACGUUAUUCGGAAUCACUGGGCUUACAGGGUGCGUAGGCGGCUUGUUAAGUAGGGUGUGAAAUCCCCCGGCCCAACCGGGGAAUGGCGCUCUAAACUAGCAGGCUUGAGUGAGCUAGGGGUGCACGGAACUUCCAGUGGAGCGGUGAAAUGUGUUGAUAUUGGAAGGAACACCGGAGGCGAAAGCGGUGCACUGGGGCUUAACUGACGCUGAGGCACGAAAGCCAGGGGAGCGAACGGGAUUAGAAACCCCCGUAGUCC